rnacentral:rRNA from 1 species
AGUGACGAUAGCCUAGGAGAUACACCUGUACCCUGCCGAACACAGAAGUUAAGCCCUAGAACGCCGGAAGUAGUUGGGGGUUGCCCCCUGUGAGAUAGGGAAGUCGCUUAGCU